rnacentral:tRNA from 1 species
GCCUCAGUAGCUCAGACUGGUAGAGCAGCUGACUUGUAAUCAGCAGGUCGGGGGUUCAAAUCCCCUCUGAGGCU